rnacentral:rRNA from 1 species
GACAGAGGUGCCGAGCGUUAGGCGGAAUCACUGGGCUUAAAGCGUGUGUAGGCGGGUCGUUAAGUACCUUGUGAAAUCCCGCGGCUUAACUGUGGAACUGCUCGGUAUACUGGCGAUCUUGAGCCACUUAGGGGUCAGCGGAACAAAUGGUGGAGCGGUGAAAUGCGUAGAUAUCAUUUGGAACGCCAAUGGUGAAAACAGCUGACUGGGAGUGUGCUGACGCUGAGACACGAAAGCCAGGGGAGCGAACGGG